rnacentral:rRNA from 1 species
GCCCGUUAAUGGGUGAUGGCGUGCCUUUUGUAGAAUGAACCGGCGAGUUACGAUUUGAUGCAAGGUUAAGCAGUAAAUGUGGAGCCGUAGCGAAAGCGAGUCUGAAUAGGGCGUUUAGUAUUUGGUCGUAGACCCGAAACCAGGUGAUCUACCCUUGGUCAGGUUGAAGUUCAGGUAACACUGAAUGGAGGACCGAACCGACUUACGUUGAAAAGUGAGCGGAUGAACUGAGGGUAGCGGAGAAAUUCCAAUCGAACCUGGAGAUAGCUGGUUCUCUCCGAAAUAGCUUUAGGGCUAGCCUCAAGUGAUGAUUAUUGGAGGUAGAGCACUGUUUGGACGAGGGGCCCCUCUCGGGUUACCGAAUUCAGACAAACUCCGAAUGCCAAUUAAUUUAACUUGGGAGUCAGAACAUGGGUGAUAAGGUCCGUGUUCGAAAGGGAAACAGCCCAGACCACCAGCUAAGGUCCCAAAAUAUAUGUUAAGUGGAAAAGGAUGUGGCGUUGCCCAGACAACUAGGAUGUUGGCUUAGAAGCAGCCAUCAUUUAAAGAGUGCGUAAUAGCUCACUAGUCGAGUGACACUGCGCCGAAAAUGUACCGGGGCUAAACAUAUUACCGAAGCUGUGGAUUGUCCUUUGGACAAUGGUAGGAGAGCGUUCUAAGGGCGUUGAAGCAUGAUCGUAAGGACAUGUGGAGCGCUUAGAAGUGAGAAUGCCGGUGUGAGUAGCGAAAGACGGGUGAGAAUCCCGUCCACCGAUUGACUAAGGUUUCCAGAGGAAGGCUCGUCCGCUCUGGGUUAGUCGGGUCCUAAGCUGAGGCCGACAGGCGUAGGCGAUGGAUAACAGGUUGAUAUUCCUGUACCACCUAUAAUCGUUUUAAUCGAUGGGGGGACGCAGUAGGAUAGGCGAAGCGUGCGAUUGGAUUGCACGUCUAAGCAGUAAGGCUGAGUAUUAGGCAAAUCCGGUACUCGUUAAGGCUGAGCUGUGAUGGGGAGAAGACAUUGUGUCUUCGAGUCGUUGAUUUCACACUGCCGAGAAAAGCCUCUAGAUAGAAAAUAGGUGCCCGUACCGCAAACCGACACAGGUAGUCAAGAUGAGAAUUCUAAGGUGAGCGAGCGAACUCUCGUUAAGGAACUCGGCAAAAUGACCCCGUAACUUCGGGAGAAGGGGUGCUCUUUAGGGUUAACGCCCAGAAGAGCCGCAGUGAAUAGGCCCAAGCGACUGUUUAUCAAAAACACAGGUCUCUGCUAAACCGUAAGGUGAUGUAUAGGGGCUGACGCCUGCCCGGUGCUGGAAGGUUAAGAGGAGUGGUUAGCUUCUGCGAAGCUACGAAUCGAAGCCCCAGUAAACGGCGGCCGUAACUAUAACGGUCCUAAGGUAGCGAAAUUCCUUGUCGGGUAAGUUCCGACCCGCACGAAAGGCGUAACGAUUUGGGCACUGUCUCAACGAGAGACUCGGUGAAAUCAUAGUACCUGUGAAGAUGCAGGUUACCCGCGACAGGACGGAAAGACCCCGUGGAGCUUUACUGUAGCCUGAUAUUGAAAUUCGGCACAGCUUGUACAGGAUAGGUAGGAGCCUUUGAAACGUGAGCGCUAGCUUACGUGGAGGCGCUGGUGGG